GACCAGUUAGUAGAGUGGUAAACAGCCUAGUCGCCUAGCUAGGAAGCGGCGGGUUCGACUCCCGCACUGGUCG
rnacentral:tRNA from 1 species